rnacentral:rRNA from 1 species
CAGUCGCCACGGUAAUACAGAGGGUGCGAGCGUUAAUCGGAUUUACUGGGCGUAAAGCGUGCGUAGGCGGCUUCUUAAGUCGGAUGUGAAAUCCCUGAGCUUAACUUAGGAAUUGCAUUCGAUACUGGGAAGCUAGAGUAUGGGAGAGGAUGGUAGAAUUCCAGGUGUAGCGGUGAAAUGCGUAGAGAUCUGGAGGAAUACCGAUGGCGAAGGCAGCCAUCUGGCCUAAUACUGACGCUGAGGUACGAAAGCAUGGGGAGCAAACAGGAUUAGAUACCCCGUAGUCCCUGUCUCUUAUACA